rnacentral:rRNA from 1 species
CUGCCAGUGGUAUAUGCUUGUCUAUAGGACUAAGCCAUGCAAGUGCAAGUAUGAGUGUAUUAUACAACGAAACUGCGAAUGGCUCGGUAAAACAGCUAUAAUUUCUUCGGUGCUAAAUACUACUCGGAUAACCGUAGUAAUUCUAGAGCUAAUACGUGCCUCCCAAGCGACGCAAGUCGUGGUACAAAUUAGAGAUACAAGCCAAUUUUUUGGUGAUUCUAGAUUUUUUUUCUGAUCGCACUAGUUGCGACGCACCGUUCAAAUUUCUGACCUAUCAACUUUGGAUGGUAAGGUAUUGGCUUACCAUGGUUGUGACGGGUAACGGACCGUGGGUGCGGGAUUCCGGAGAGGGAGCCUGAGAAACGGCUACCACAUCCAAGGAAGGCAGCAGGCGCGCAACUUACCCAAUCCGGACACCGGGAGGUAGUGACAAGAAAUAUCAAUAGAGGGCCCGAUGGGUUUUCUAAUUGGAAUGAGAACAAGGUAAACAGCUUAUCGAGGAGCCAGCAGAGGGCAAGUCUGGUGCCAGCAGCCGCGGUAAUUCCAGCUCUGUAAGCGUAUACCAAAGUUGUUGCAGUUAAAACGCUCGUAGUCGGAUUUUGGCGUGUGACUUGGGUCGUUCUCGCGGGCGCUCCCAGGUUGUGCGCCUUUGUGGAGGGGGGUCUGGUGGUGCUUAAUUGGAUCGCCAGGCUGCCGCCACCGUUUACUGUGAAAAAAUUAGAGUGUUCAAAGCAGGCGAUUGCCCUGAAUACAUUAGCAUGGAAUAAUAGAAUAGGACCCGGUCCUAUUUUGUUGGUUUGUUUGAAUCGGGUAAUGAUUAAAAGGGACGGUUGGGGGCAUUCGUAUUCCGACGCUAGAGGUGAAAUUCUUGGAUUGUCGGAAGACGAACAGCUGCGAAAGCGUCUGCCAAGGACGUUUUCAUUGAUCAAGAACGAAAGUAAGGGGAUCGAAGACGAUCAGAUACCGUCGUAGUCUUUACUAUAAACGAUGAGGACUGGAGAUCGGAUAAGACUGAUUUAUGGCUUAUCCGGCAUCCUUCGAGAAAUCAAAGUGUUUGCUUUCUGGGGGGAGUAUGGUCGCAAGGCUGAAACUUAAAGGAAUUGACGGAAGGGCAUCACCGGGUGUGGAGCCUGCGGCUUAAUUUGAC